AUGGUACUCCCUCCGUCCGAAAAUACUUGUCAUCAAAAUGGACAAAAAGAGAUGUAUCUAGAACUAAAAUACAUCUAGAUACACCCUCUUUUGUUCAUUUUGAUGACAAGUAUUUCCAGACGGAGGGAGUAUAAC
rfam:Triticum aestivum genome assembly, contig: Triticum_aestivum_CS42_TGACv1_scaffold_544003_6DS